rnacentral:rRNA from 1 species
GAUCAAGCGCAAAAGGGCUUGCGGUGGAUUCCUUGGCGUCAAUGGGCGAUGAAGGGCGUAGCAAGCUGCGAUAAGCUUCGGGGAGCCGCUAACAGGCGUUGAUCCGGAGAUUCCCGAAUGGGGCAACCCUGCACAGGUCAUACUGUGUAAUCUCUGACUGAAUACAUAGGUCUUAGAAGCCAACCGGGGGAAUUGAAACAUCUUAGUACCCCGAGGAACAGAAAACAAAAGUGAUUCCCCUAGUAGUGGCGAACGAACGGGGAACAGCCUAAACCAAGCGUUACGUUAAAACCCGUGGGUGUUGUACGUUUGGGGUUGUGGGUCUCAAUUGGGCGGAACUACGGAGCCGCCGGAAUGUUACAAAAACAUGUUUUAGCUUAACAGGCUGGAAAGCCUGGCCAUAGAGGGUGAUA